AAUUUAACGGCCGCGGUAUCCUAACCGUGCAAAGGUAGCAUAAUAAUUUGUCCAUUAAUUGUGGACUAGAAUGAACGGAAUAACAAAAUAAGCACUGUCUCAAUAAGGAAUAUAUAAACUAAUAUUUAAGUGAAGAAGCUUAAAUAAAAUUAAAGGACAAGAAGACCCUAUAGAGCUUUAUUAAUAAAAAUUAUCAAUUCUAUUUAAUUCGGUUGGGGCGACCAAGGAAAAAUCAUCCUUAAACAAUAAGACUUACUAGUCUAUACAUAGAUCCUUAAAUAAAGAUCAAAGAAUCAAGCUACCUUAGGGAUAACAGGCUAAUCCUAUUAUAGAGCUCUUAUCAACAAUAGGGAUUGGCACCUCGAUGUUGGCUUAGAAUAUCUGUACGGCGCAGAAGUCGUAAAAAGAAGGUUUGUUCAACCUAUAAUAUUC
rnacentral:rRNA from 1 species